ACUGCCCCUAGAAGCAUUGACGUGUGGCUGCUGUGUCCCAUGUGCAUCAGAAGUAGCAGAGAGGAGAGAGGCUGUGUCUACACUCAGUGUUCUGACCUAUGAACAUCUGAAAGAUUACUAGUCUAACAUU
rnacentral:snoRNA from 1 species